GCGACCUCCCAGACCCACCUGCUCAGGCCUGAGGGCUUCUGUUCAGAAAUAUGGACAAUAAGGUCCACAGCCACUGGAAUCACCAGCUCCUUCCUGCCUGGAAACAGGACCGUACUGCACCUCCCCAGCCAUGACCAGACUCCGGCUCGUUCCCAGAGCCCAUCCCGGAGGCACAGGGCACAAGGCAGCACUAACCCCUGGAUCGGACAGCAAACCCGGACAACCAAGAGACUCCGAAUAACUGAGCCAGCCUGCCCGUGGAAGGUGUCAGGAAAAUCCGAGCGCUCAGGGAAAAGGCAACUGUGGAGAACAUGCAAACUCCACACAGAGGGUGCCCCGGUCUGGAAUCGAACCCAGGACUCCACAGCAGUGAAGCAGCACUUGAGGUGGAGCAGAGCGUGUGCCCAGAAGAGAAAGACGGACCGUCAGAAUGCCCUACAACAAUGGGAACACGCAGAGAGAGAGACUCACCAUCUCCAUUGACAUCAAUCUUCUCAAACACUCGACAGUUUCAGGUUCCUGGUUCCACCUGCAGCCCUGGUACCUUGAUGAUGUUGAGCAGCUCAUAGCGGUCUAUGCAGCCAUUGCCGUCCGCAUCGUACAGCUUGAAGUACCAGCGCAGCUUCUGCUCCAUCUUGCCCCGCAGCACCAGGCUGAGAGCCGCCACGUACUCCAUGAAGUCAAUAUAGCCGUCC